rnacentral:lncRNA from 1 species
AACAUCCUCUCUAAAGAUUUACAAUUUUACUUUUGUUCCUUUUUCCCUCCCAUAGAACUUCAUUAUCUAUUUCCAAACAGUAAAUCAUGGUYAAUCAUGCUUAAGGAAUUAUUGGAACAGAAUAUUUGAAGGCAGAAAUGUUCUGAAAAUGCAAGUCCACUAAGUGCUGGCCAGAUUAGCCAAAAUGGGAAGAAUUGGAUUCCACUCUCUUCCACGAAGAGUUAAUGGGACUGGCUAAGAUCAAAAUCUGAGGCUUUUUCCAUCUGUAAUCAGUCCCUUUUUGCUUUCUUUUACGACCACAUGAAACUUGAGAAGCCACCUAAAGCUAUAUCAUUUAGUGGAGUUGGGCAGUUCCCAAGUGUCCAACAAG